rnacentral:rRNA from 1 species
GACGAACGCUGGCGGCGUGCUUAACACAUGCAAGUCGAACGGAAAGGCCCUGCUUUUGUGGGGUGCUCGAGUGGCGAACGGGUGAGUAACACGUGAGUAACCUGCCCUUGACUUUGGGAUAACUUCAGGAAACUGGGGCUAAUACCGGAUAGGAGCUCCUGCUGCAUGGUGGGGGUUGGAAAGUUUCGGCGGUUGGGGAUGGACUCGCGGCUUAUCAGCUUGUUGGUGGGGUAGUGGCUUACCAAGGCUUUGACGGGUAGCCGGCCUGAGAGGGUGACCGGCCACAUUGGGACUGAGAUACGGCCCAGACUCCUACGGGAGGCAGCAGUGGGGAAUAUUGCACAAUGGGCGGAAGCCUGAUGCAGCAACGCCGCGUGCGGGAUGACGGCCUUCGGGUUGUAAACCGCUUUCGCCUGUGACGAAGCGUGAGUGACGGUAAUGGGUAAAGAAGCACCGGCUAACUACGUGCCAGCAGCCGCGGUGAUACGUAGGGUGCGAGCGUUGUCCGGAUUUAUUGGGCGUAAAGGGCUCGUAGGUGGUUGAUCGCGUCGGAAGUGUAAUCUUGGGGCUUAACCCUGAGCGUGCUUUCGAUACGGGUUGACUUGAGGAAGGUAGGGGAGAAUGGAAUUUCCUGGUGGAGCGGUGGAAUGCGCAAAUAUCAGGAGGAACACCAGUGGCGAAGGCGGUUCUCUGGGCCUUUCCUGACGCUGAGGAGCGAAAGCGUGGGGAGCGAACAGGCUUAGAUACCCUGGUAGUCCACGCUGUAAACGGUGGGUACUAGGUGUGGGGUCCAUUCCACGGGUUCCGUGCCGUAGCUAACGCUUUAAGUACCCCGCCUGGGGAGUACGGCCGCAAGGCUAAAACUCAAAGGAAUUGACGGGGCCCCGCACAAGCGGCGGAGCAUGCGGAUUAAUUCGAUGCAACGCGUAGAACCUUACCUGGGUUUGACAUGGAUCGGGAGCGCUCAGAGAUGGGUGUGCCUCUUUUGGGGUCGGUUCACAGGUGGUGCAUGGCUGUCGUCAGCUCGUGUCGUGAGAUGUUGGGUUAAGUCCCGCAACGAGCGCAACCCUUGUUCACUGUUGCCAGCACGUUAUGGUGGGGACUCAGUGGAGACCGCCGGGGUCAACUCGGAGGAAGGUGGGGAUGACGUCAAGUCAUCAUGCCCCUUAUGUCCAGGGCUUCACGCAUGCUACAAUGGCUGGUACAGAGAGUGGCGAGCCUGUGAGGGUGAGCGAAUCUCGGAAAGCCGGUCUCAGUUCGGAUUGGGGUCUGCAACUCGACCUCAUGAAGUCGGAGUCGCUAGUAAUCGCAGAUCAGCAACGCUGCGGUGAAUACGUUCCCGGG